GACGAACGCUGGCGGCGUGCUUAACACAUGCAAGUCGAACGGACAGGCCCUGCGUUUGCGGGGUUCUCGAUUGGCGAACGCGUGAGUAACACGUGUGUAACCUCCCCUUGACUUUGGGAUAACUUCUGGAAACUGGGGCUAUUACCGGAUAGGAUCUCCUGCUCCACAUUGGUGGUUGGAAAGAUUCGGCUGUUGGGGAUGGACUCGCUGGUUAUCCGCCUGUUUGUGGGGUAGUGGCUUACCAAGGCUUUGACGGGUAGGCGGCCUGAGAGGGUGACCGGCCUCAUGGCGACUGAGAGAGGGCGCAGACUCGUACGGGCGGCAGCAGUGGAAAGUAUUGCAGAAUGGGCGGAAGCCUGAUGCAGCAGCGCUGCGAGCGGGAAGCCGGGCUACGGGGUGUAAACCGAUGUCGAAGGAGACGAAGCGUGAGUGACGGUAAUGGGUAAAGAAGCACCGGCUAACUACGUG
rnacentral:rRNA from 1 species